rnacentral:lncRNA from 1 species
AGUUGACAUGUCAUCACUUCAUUUUUUGCGCCUGCGCAUAAAUCUGAGAGAUGUGAGUUUGUCAUCAUUGUUUAUCUAGACAUAGGAUAGGUUGUGUGAAAAUAUUACUGAUGUUUAACGUUAAAAAUGGACCAAAAGAUUAAUGCUAAACAACAUUUGACAUGUUUGAACGAACAUAAAUAGAUUAUUUACUAGGUUUUUUUUUAGCUUUUCGGCGUGAUUUUACACUCCCCCCACCACGUUUUGUGGGAGCAUAAUGAACGCUAAGUACUUUGUGUUAUUUGGACAUAAAUUAUGAACUUUGUCAAAAGAAACCACAUUUGUUCCGGACCUGGGAUGCCUUCCGGACCUGGGAUGCCUGCCUUCUGAUGGAGAUAAUCAAAGAAGGAUAACUUCCAAUACCCGCAGUGGCUGUAUUGGGGCUGUAUUGGGGAUGUGUCACGCCUGCUCCUGCUCUUCCCCCCUGGCGCUCGAGGACAUCCGGGCUCCCCAGCGUUGCGCACUCCUGCCACCAUCAUUACACACACCUGCUUCCCUCGUCAUGCGCAUCAGCGAUCACCUGUUGUAUUUUCUUCCCUAUAUCUGUCUGUCCCCCAGCUCUGUUCCCGGCUUCAACAUUAACAUUUGUGUGUGGUUUUGUUACCCGUGUGCUGAUGCUGUUCCUGUCUUGUUCCUUGUCUGUUCCUAAUUAAAUGUUUGACUCCCCGUACCUGCUUGUCGACUCCAGCGUCAGUUCUUACAGGAUGCAUCCACACCCUGGAAAUAUGUUUAUGGUGCACUCACUCUUAACACUUCGAGUGAUACACUGAUUUAUCGUCAAAAUUGAUAAAGAAGCAACCGGUUACAAGGCAAAAAUGCAGAUUGAGGCCUUCAAUCAAACUGAGGACGGAGAAAUAUGUCUGCACCAGACAGGUCAAGGCGUGU